rnacentral:rRNA from 1 species
AUUGAACGCUGGCGGCAGGCCUAACACAUGCAAGUCGAGCGAGCGGCGGACGGGUGAGUAAUGUCUCGGAAACUGCCUCUUGGAGGGGGAUAACAACUGGAAACGGUAGCUAAUAUCGCAUACCAUCAGAUGUGCCCAGAUGGGAUUAGCUCGUUGGUGGGGGAAUGGCUCACCUAGGCGACGAUCCCUAGCUGGUCUGAGAGGAUGACCAGCCACACUGGAACUGAGACACGGUCCAGACUCCUACGGGAGGCAGCAGUGGGGAAUAUUGCACAAUGGGCGCAAGCCUGAUGCAGCCAUGCCGCGUGUAUGAAGAAGGCCUUCGGGUUGUAAAGCACUUUCAGCGGGGAGGCGUUACCCGCAGAAGAAGCACCGGCUAACUCCGUGCCAGCAGCCGCGGUAAUUC